GAUGAAGAACGCAGCAAAAUGCGAUAAGUAAUGUGAAUUGCAGAAUUCAGUGAAUCAUCGAAUCUUUGAACGCACAUUGCGCCCGCUGGUAUUCCGGCGUGCAUGCCUGUUCGAGCGUCAUUUCAACCCUCAAGCCCCCGGGUUUGGUGUUGGGGAUCGGCUCUGCCCUUCUGGGCGGUGCCGCCCCCGAAAUACAUUGGCGGUCUCGCUGCAGCCUCCAUUGCGUAGUAGCUAACACCUCGCAACUGGAACGCGGCGCGGCCAUGCCGUAAAACCCCAACUUCUGAAUGUUGACCUCGGAUCAGGUAGGAAUACCCGCUGAACUUAAGCAUAUCAAAUAGCGGAGGA
rnacentral:misc_RNA from 1 species